GACGAACGCUGGCGGCGUGCUUAACACAUGCAAGUCGAGGGGGUUCGUGGGGCAACUCACGGAUCACCGGCGAAACGGGUGCGUAACGACGUGAGCGACCUGCCGUACCUGUGGGGAUAGCCGGCCCAACGGCCGGGUAAUACCGCAUACGCUUGUCUUGGGGCAUCCUGGGACAAAGAAGCUCUGGGGGGCAACCCUGGGGCGCAGGACGAGGGGCUCGCGGCCUAUCAGCUAGUUGGCGGGGAACGGCCCACCAAGGCGGUGACGGGUAGCUGGGUCUGAGAGGAUGGCCAGCCACAUUGGGACUGAGAGACGGCCAGACUCCGUACGGGAGGCAGCGAGGUGGGGAAUCUUGCGCAAUGGCCUAACGGCU
rnacentral:rRNA from 1 species